rnacentral:rRNA from 1 species
GACGAACGCUGGCGGCGUGCUUAACACAUGCAAGUCGAACGGAAAGGCCCUGCUUUUGUGGGAUGCUAGAGUGGCGCACGGGUGUGUAACACGGGUGUAACCUGCUCCUGAUUUUGGGAUAACUUCGGGAAACUGGGGAUUAUCCCGGAUGGGCGCUCCUGCUGCAUGGUGGGGGUUGGAAAGUUCCGGCGGUUGGGGAUGGACGCGCGGCUUACCAGCUUGUUGGUGGGGUAGUGGCUUACCAAGGCUUUGACGGGUAGCCGGCCUGAGAGGGUGACCGGCCACAUUGGGACUGAGAUACGGCCCAGACUCCUACGGGAGGCAGCAGUGGGGAAUAUUGCACAAUGGGCGGAAGCCUGAUGCAGCAACGCCGCGUGCGGGAUGACGGCCUUCGGGUUGUAAACCGCUUUCGCCUGUGACGAAGCGUGAGUGACGGUAAUGGGUAAAGAAGCACCGGCUAACUACGUG